UACAGAGGGGGCAAGCGUUGUCCGGAAUUACUGGGCGUACAGCGCGCGCAGGCGGACAGCCACGUGCCGUGUGACAAGCCACUGCUCAACAGUGGAGGGCCAGGGUACACGAGCGGUCUGGAGGCAGGGAGAGGGAUGUGGAAUGCCCGGUGGAGCGGUGAAAUGCGUAGAGAUCGGGCGGAACACCAGCGGCGAAGGCGGCAUCCUGGUCCUGUUCUGACGCUGAGGCGCGAGAGCGUGGGGAGCGAACUGG
rnacentral:rRNA from 1 species